ACGUGCAGGAGUUUCUGCCACACAGCCUCUGUGCCAUGCAGUGAUGGCUGUGGGUUCUGGCUGCUAGAAUACUUCAGUAUCUAGCCUGUCUGGUUGAUUGUGCAUGGAACUGACAUGUUAACACCUGAUCACUCCCCCAUGCCCCUUUCCUGCCCCAUCCCUCCCAAGAAGAGACAACUUUGCUGAUAAUCUCACUACUUUUGAAGAAAAGAACCCUUACCCGGUGACUCACCUCCAGAGUGAAAGUUCAACCGGGCCUGCAGUCACUAUCCCUACUCUUAUGGUUCAUAAAAGUCUGCAUGUGUUUUUAUUCUGUAGAGCUGUUACCAGCUUAGUUUUUAAACUCCUUUUGGGGAGCAGGUAUUCAUAACUUAUUCCUGUAAGUUGGUUUUCUUCUUUGUUGGUUUUUACGUGUGCAUAUGAGUGGUGGGUAUUGACUGGGCCAUCAUUUCAAGAGAGUCGAUGCUAAGUUGGAUUUUAUGCUGCUGUCAAUUGGAACUGUCUACUCUAAGUGCCUUUACUUAGGAAAAGCCAGAUCUUGACUUCCUUCUUCACUCAAAGGUUGCUUCACUCUGAGUGGUGAAAUGGUGGUUUUGUUGUAGAAAUACUGCCUUUCAUUGUUCUCUCUGUAUCGGCCUACCGUCUCUGUGGCGAAAUAUUAAAAAAAUGUAAGCUCACAUGGAAGUUUAAGGAUGUCUGUGUUAAUACUCGGAAUAACCCAGAGAAAUGGAGCCCGGAGUGUAAUUCCAGAAGAAAGGAAAGGAGAGAAGUUGUAUAUGUGGCGCUUUACACAUAGGGAGCCAAGAGACUGUCAGAGGUAGGUAGGUUGUUUGUGGACAGCCUUGAACACCCAAAUCCUUACCUCUGGAGUGUAGCCACACACAACACAGAGAGUAACUGAAGCCUAUCUUAAGCAAAGUGAAACUCAGCAUCCAGUCUGUGGCUGCCUAACUGAACACCACUUUCCUGUCCCUUGGUUUCCCAUCUCACCAAUCAGUCCCCAGCACAUCCAGCUACCUUUCAUUCCCUCCACAUUUAUUCUUCAAUUCCUUCAUUUACAUUUGUUUUUAAUUUUUAAUUCGAGUUAAAUUAAAUUACAUCCUUUAAUCUUGAUAACUGUGGUCAAAUAUCUAUUGUUAUACAUAUCUGUAUGUGCUUGUAAGUGGUUCAAUAAUUUGUAACUGUUUUUGAUAUGUCUGUCUGUCUCUACAUAGAUGAACUGAAUAAGAAUGUAAAUAAUAUUGCAAACCAAGCCUGGUCAUACCGACAGCUAAUCCAAGCACUUGAGAGUCUGAGGCAGGAAGAUUAUGAAUUCAAAGCCAGUCAGGGAUACAUAGCAAGUUUCAGGACAGCCUGGGUAUGAGACCCUGUCUCAAAAACAUUUGAAAGCUUGUUGUGCAUGUGUGAGCGAGUGGUGUGCUGGUCUCAGGCUGACACUCGAAGGGUAGUAGAAAUAUACCUUCUGUCCUAUUUUCUGCUUCGC
rnacentral:lncRNA from 1 species